GAUGAACGCUGGCGGCGUGCUUAAUACAUGCAAGUCGAACGAAGAGUGUAGCAAUACGCUCUUAGUGGCGAAUGGGUGCGUAACGCGUUGGUGACCUGCCCCGAAGAGGGGGAUAACAGUUCGAAAGGACUGCUAAUACCCCAUGUGGUCAUAGAAGUUAGAGGUUCUAUGUCUAAAGGAGAAACCCACUUCGGGAGGGGCCUGCGUCCCAUCAGCCCGUUGGUAGGGUAACGGCCUACCAAGGCUACGACGGGUAGGGGACCUGAGAGGGUGACCCCCCACACUGGCACUGAAAUACGGGCCAGACACCUACGGGUGGCAGCAGUAGGGAAUAUUGCACAAUAGGCGAAAGCCUGAUCUAGCAACGCCGCGUGCACGAUGAAGGCCUUCGGGUCGUAAAGUGCUUUUUGAUAGGAUGAGGAAGGACAGUACUAUCAGAAUAAGGAUCGGCUAACUACGUGCCAGCCGCCGCAGUAAAAC
rnacentral:rRNA from 1 species